UCCCUUCUCCCACUGUUUCUUCAGAUCCGCCACGGCCAUCCAUAUUUGGCGCCCCUGCACCACCGUGGUGGUAAGAUGAAGACCAUUACUUCCUCUUUGCAGCAUUUUAGUUUACCUCCCCCCUGCCCACUCGUGGAGCCUGGGACAUGGCCCCCCUUCCAAAAGUGCAAUUUUCUUUGAACCAUGAAUACUAAGCGUUCUAGUGUGCCGCAUCACAUAGGUGCAUAGCUAGCUUGAUUGAUUUUGUAUGCGCGUACUUCCGGUACAUGAAGCUCUGUCGGUCAAAAGUCUCCACGGCUUGCCUCCAUACUUUUCAUCUGUGAUAAUUUGAUUACUAAGUAGUCCUUGCAAUUCCUCAAACUUGUUUUUCCAUUUUUGGUUUGGACUGCUAACCGCCGCACAACCGCCGAGCCAGCAUCGCACACUGUUGCACGCCACCGACUGUCGAUGAGCCGAGCUGCCAUGUUUCAUGUAUAUUUUGCUCUUAUUCUAAAAUUUGCCCCGCUCCGCCACUGCUCCUGCCUAGCUAGCAAACUAGUUUGCUUUGGUCCAAUCUGAUCCUAUCCUAUCCAUGGAGUAGCUUGGACUUGGUUCCAGUUUACUUUGUACAUGCAUGGGUGGUUGGUUUCAGAGAGAGAGAGAGAUGGAUGGUGCAGUCCUUGCUUCUAUUUUGUUUUAGCCGUAACAAAUUUAUCAACCGAGCUAGCUUCAAGUUUUUUUACCAUGGUUUUGGGUUGGUCCUGCUUAGGUCAAAUUGAUCCAUUUUCUUGGUUCAAUUUAUAUAGAGCUCUCCAUGCCCAAGUAUGAAAAAAUCUUGCUGCCAAUUUGAUUCCACAAUUGGCGUCUUUUUGUACUGUUAUAUUAGCCGUGCCACUGAACUUUCAACCUUUAACCAUUACUUGUGUAAAACAAGAAUUUCUUUUGUUGUGAAUAGAGUGUUUGCUUUCUGUGCUGCAAAAAUAAUCCAUUCAUCGCUCAUUUGACAUGUGCAAGCAAUGUGUACAUACUGCAUUUAAAUUCCAGCCCAACUAGAUUUUAGUUGAAGUGUUUGACCAAGCCAUCUUGGUUUGCUGCAUUUUCUCCUUACUAGCUUUUUAUUCUUCUUCAGGUUUUGAAGGGGGUUAUUUAGAAUAGCCACAAAGCAGAAAGAACAAACAUUCCACUUCAGUAAAAGCGUCAUGAUCCUGAUACUCUUAUCAUUUUGUUAAUGACAUACGUGUCAUGUCAAUGCUUGCCGGACGCUAGUCAUACUGGGUAGUAUAGCUAAUUCUUUGCACUUCAGAACAUUCAAGAGCUCUUUAGUCCUACCAAAAAAGUUUUUAUGUUUACCUUACACAAAAUAUUCAUAUUUCUCACUUUUUAACUCAUCUAGCUGACCUGUCACUGCCUAAAAUUGCUGUUGGAUAGGGGCUGUUUGGUUAGUGCUCCCGUUCUUGGUGGGCUAAACAUAUUUGUUUGUUUGUUUGAUUUGGAGCAGCAGAUGCUCUCCAUCGAUGAAUGGGACCCCAUGCCUAAGUUGUUGAUUGCCUCAUUUUAUCCACCUUCACCAUAUAUUCAUUUGAUUGCCUGCUACAUCUUCACUUAAAUACUCAGAAUGCUACUGUCCAGAUUUUGGUAAAUUGGACUGACUAGAUAUCUUUUCUUUGUUAUUUUUUUGGUGAGAAAUAAAUAUUGCAAUUUAUUCUUAUAUUUUCCUUCAACUUGGCACAUAGGUUACAUUGACUAUAUUUUUUCCAUCCGUACAAUUGUGAUCUGAUCUUGUAUUUCAUUUUUUGGUUUCUAAAGAGGUGGAAGAAAUCUCUUGAGGCCAAACCGCAGGGAGGACGGCGGCCAACAAUCGAUACAUGUUCUCAAGGUCCCAUGGAACUGGGUACAGGUGCGGUUGUGUGCUCGUGAUCCCCAUCCAAUGCUGCGCAUCCAAGGUACAGUAGCGGCACGAAAGCUGCCACUUUCUCCCUAUCCAUAAAUGUUUGAUCUGGCUGGUGAUUACAUGAUUUGUUUCUAUGUAAUCAUCUCAACUCAAUAGGGAACUCGCUAUAUUAGGAUUGAUUUUCUUUCUGUCCAUCAUUGGAUUUCACUAUGGUCUUAAUCAGGUCCAAUUUUAUCAUUUUCUGUUGUUUUCAUGAACAUCUCAGAUCUCAUAAUACUAUAUCCAUCAUUGGCAGGCCGCUUGUUAUUCUUCUUUUUCUUUUUUCACAUGAUUGUACUUUGUGAAUGACUAGCUAACUGAUUGGGCCCUUUUGCAUUGACUGGCUCUUUUUUACCAACCUAUAUGUAGAACCAAACCAUGGAACUGAUUUGCUCUUUAUUGCGACUGUAUGUGUGUUGUGAAAUUAAGAAAGGGAAAGAAUAUAUGUACCAGGACCUUUAUCAUCCAUUUCCGUGCUUAUGUUUCUUUUGCUGUUUGAUAUUUCAAACAUGAUGUUAUGUUAUCCUGAAAACAUUGUUGGUUGCUAGCUUGUGCUGCAUUGUCGUCACAGUAAAAAUACCAUUAUUUGAAGCUAACAUGCAUGGUUCACUUUACCUUUGGUACAGUUUUGUGUAUGUACGAAAACCCAUUCUUAAACCCAUACUUUUGAGUUGGUCUUACAGUUUUUCUAUGUGCAGGCAACAUCGCACCGGUCCUUGGGAGCAUAGGUUGAGGUGAUACGGUGACUUCCUUCGAUGAUGUCGGCGGGGAUGGCUGGAUCUGUGUCCGGGAAGGCAUGGGAAUGACCCCUGGUUGCUGUCUGUUGAGCGUUGGGAGGCAGUGGCUGCAAAGUAGCAUAGGGUGUUCUCUAGCACUUGUUUGGCACUUGUUUGUAGAUUGAAGUUUCUUGUGUUUUUGCUCCUGCACAUGGUAUCGUCUGGACAUGUGUGUAAUUUUGCGUUUUUGUGGUCUUUUUCCUUUUGCAUAAAUUGUUAUUUUUCUGGUGAUUUCCUUUUAUUUAAUUACAUAGCAUGUAUUUUCUAUAAAAAAUAUUGGCUUAAAUUAAAAAAAUCAUGGACCAAGAGAAAUGCGACAUGGGCUAAUCUAGAGGGCUAAAAUUAGUUGGCCUUGGACUGAUUUGACAUUUAAUGGGCUGAAAUUCCAAUUGGGCCGACUACUACAUGGCGGUAGGUAAUGAAAA
rnacentral:lncRNA from 1 species